CAGUCAGUUUAUCUAUUCCGGCUCCUGUCCGAUUCCGACAUAUUUCUAGAUUGAAUGGUUGGUACGGAGAGAGUAUGUUUAGAAACUUAAUUUUGUCUGUUGUUUCAUGUAAAGUAAUUAUUUCUUUGUCUACUGAAUGGAUGUUUACAAAAUGUAUGAACUCUUGGUCUGCCAGCGCUUGGAUUUCCAAAACGAGGCUUCAGAUCGGUUGAAUUUCCGGCGCGUUUUUUCGGACGUCUGAAAAGUCGGUGGACAACAUUAAUCUAUUCAAUGAUCGAGGUUACCAAAAGAUACAAUUGCCAUGGGAAAGCAGAAGACAAACAGAUCAUCAGUACAUUGUAGUCCAGCUGUAGAGGCAGCAAAAUCUGUAAAGCGGGUAAUUAAUUAUCUUAAUCAAUUAAAUAGUAAUGCGGUAAAAAAUAUUUCAAAGUAUAAUGUGCAUCUUAUAAUGGUACACAUAACAAUUUUGACUUAAAUACCAUUUUGAUUGCUGUGUGUAUCUUAGUUGUGAACUUCCUAAAGCCAUUUUCAAAUUCAUUGAAUACAGAGCACAGUUUCAUACUUAACUUAGCUAUAAAUUAAAAUGUAUGUUAUACUCGCGCAGUACUGUAUAAAUAAACUAUGAAAUCAUAGGAAAUAUUUGCCUUUAAUAAAUGUAAACAUAUAAGGUUACAUACAGUAUGAACUGUAAUAAAAUGAAUACAGUAUGGUACAUGUGGUAUUUUCUCACAUGAUCAGUUGAUCACAUUGUGCAACAAGGUGAACACAAAAGGAUUUAGUUUUUUUUAUUUUACCCCAUGUACAAAGUAUGGGGCUGAAUUGGAUUCACAUCGGUGGGUUUGUCCAGUGUCUGUAAACAUAAGUUGAAAAUCUUUGUGGCCAUUCAACAGAGUCAAAUGAUAUAUUAUACUAAUAUGCAAUACAGUACUCCACAAUUGCCUGUAGGUUUGUUAAAUGAUUCACUUCAAAAUAUACUUGUGGCCAUUUGAAUAUUCCUGUCAUUUAUGACAGGUUGUAUAAUGUGAUCACUUGUAGCUGGUGUGUGGGUGGGCUUCAGAGUUUGAUUUGCUAAAUAACUUAAGUACCCUUGCAUAAUGAACACCAAACUUUGUGUAUAGUCAGCUGGUACUUACAUGAAAAUCCCUUUAGAAUUUAGUCAAGGUCAUUGUGGAUAUAAAUAUAAUUUGAGUGUCCGCUUAAUUACUCAAUAGUCUUAAGCUGUAAGAACUUGUUUCCCAAAUGUUGUAAAAUUAUUAAGUUUAAACUAAAUUGUUGCUGUAAAUUGUAACAGGUAUGAAUGAGUUAACACAUAACCAAACAAUAAAGAUAUUUAAGAUGUUUGUUGCAGAUGACAUAGGACAUCACUAGGAUAAAACUAUUAUUUACUCAUUUGAGCAAUUUCUCUUUAUCAUAAUGAUUUCUACCCUACCAAAUCAAUUUCUUCCUUCUCUAUCAAAGUUCCAUUUUUUUCUGCAACCUCAUUGAAUUUAGGACAUUCCAAAUGUAUUGUUUGGUAACAAGUUGACACCGAACUUCAUUUUUUCCCCCACAAAAUAUGUGAUAAUAUACUCAAUGAAUAUGCUAGUCCUUUAUGUCUUGUUUGUUAAUUAUAUAUUUUUAUAUAUUUUUAUUUUGUUAUUGAUUUUAAACCUUUCAAUGCUGCAUUUCAAGAUUUGGAAUUAAUGUGUCUAUGGACUGGAUUUAAGCACUUGCAUCCAAUUAGCUCAGCCUUCCAAAAUAGCCAAAAUGAUUUGAGACAGUUUGUAACAAAGAUUCAACUACACGAAUGUGUGUGUUAUCUUUGAAACACAUUGUUGAUAAGACACGCAAAAAAUAUCCAGCAUUGAAAGUGUUAUUUCAACAGGCAGUUGAUUUGCUAGAAAUAAAAUUGUAAAAUUA